AGUGAACGCUGGCGGUAGGCCUAACACAUGCAAGUCGAACGGCAGCACAGUAAGAGCUUGCUCUUACGGGUGGCGAGUGGCGGACGGGUGAGGAAUACAUCGGAAUCUACUUUUUCGUGGGGGAUAACGUAGGGAAACUUACGCUAAUACCGCAUACGACCUACGGGUGAAGGCAGGGGAUCUUCGGACCUUGCGCGAUUGAAUGAGCCGAUGUCGGAUUAGCUAGUUGGCGGGGUAAAGGCCCACCAAGGCGACGAUCCGUAGCUGGUCUGAGAGGAUGAUCAGCCACACUGGAACUGAGACACGGUCCAGACUCCUACGGGAGGCAGCAGUGGGGAAUAUUGGACAAUGGGCCCAAGCCUGAUCCAGCCAUACCGCGUGGGUGAAGAAGGCCUUCGGGUUGUAAAGCCCUUUUGUUGGGAAAGAAAAGCAGCAGGUUAAUACCCCGCUGUUCUGACGGUACCCAAAGAAUAAGCACCGGCUAACUUCGUG
rnacentral:rRNA from 1 species